rnacentral:rRNA from 1 species
CAAGGGAUUUUCCGCAAUGGGGGCAACCCUGACGGAGCAACGCCGCGUGCGGGACGACGCCUCUUGGGGUGUAAACCGCUUUUGCCGGGGAAGAGAACGGACGGUACCCGGCGAAUCAGGACCGGCUAACUACGUGCCAGCAGCCGCGGUAAUACGUAGGGUCCGAGCGUUGUCCGGAGUGACUGGGCGUAAAGCGCGCGCAGGCGGCCCGCGAGGUGUCACGUGAAAGCCCCGAGCUCAACUCGGGAGGGUCGUGGCAAACCGGCGGGCUUGAGGCCGGUAGAGGUGGGUGGAACUCCUGGUGGAGUGGUGAAAUGCGUAGAGAUCAGGAAGAACACCCGUGGCGAAGGCGGCCCACUGGGCCGGACCUGACGCUGAGGCGCGAAGGCGUGGGGAGCGAACG